rnacentral:miRNA from 1 species
GAGAGAGAGAGAGAGAGAGAGAGAGAGAGAGAGAGAGAGAGAGAGAAAGGAAGAGAUUUGAGAUCUAUUUUUAGGUGGUAUGGGGGUUUGUAUCUUGAGUGUCCUCCAAAAGUCCAGGUGUUACAGGCUUGGUUGUGGUGUUAGCAGAAGAGGGGGUGCCUAGUAGAAGGAAGUUGGGUCACUGGAAGUGGAGCCUUGAAGGGGAUAUGAGAGUCUCUCUCUCUCUCUCUCUCUCUCUCUCUCUCUCUCUCUCUCUCCUUCCCUGU